rnacentral:rRNA from 1 species
AACGAACGCUGGCGGCAUGCCUAACACAUGCAAGUCGAACGAAACCUUCGGGUCUAGUCGCGCACGGGUGCGUAACGCGUGGGAACCUGCCCUUAGGUUCGGCAUAACUCCCCGAAUGGGGUGCUAAUACCGGAUCAUGUCUUCUGCCCAAAGAUUUAUCGCCUUUGGAUGGGCCCGCGUGGGAUAAGAUUGUUGGUAGGGUAAAAGCGUACGACGGCGAAGAUCCAUAGCUGGUCUGAGAGGAAGCUCAGCGACACUGGGAGUAGGAAACGGCCGAGAAUACUACGGGAGGGAGGAGUGGGGAAUAUUGGAAAAUGGGGGAAAGGCUGAAGCAGUAAUGAAGGGUGAGUGAUGAAGGUAGUAGGGUAGUAAAGCUAUUUUACCCGGGAGGAUAAUGACAGUACCGGGAGAAUAAGCACCGGCUAACUCCGUG